UGGGGAAUAUUGGACAAUGGGCGCAAGCCUGAUCCAGCAAUGCCGCGUGAGUGAUGAAGGCCUUAGGGUUGUAAAGCUCUUUUACCAGGGAUGAUAAUGACAGUACCUGGAGAAUAAGCUCCGGCUAACUCCGUGCCAGCAGCCGCGGUAAUACGGAGGGAGCUAGCGUUGUUCGGAAUCACUGGGCGUAAAGCGUGCGUAGGCGGUGACUCAAGUCAGAGGUGAAAGCCUGGAGCUCAACUCCAGAACUGCCUUUGAAACUAGGUCGCUAGAACAUCGGAGAGGUGAGUGGAAUUCCGAGUGUAGAGGUGAAAUUCGUAGAUAUUCGGAAGAACACCAGUGGCGAAGGCGGCUCACUGGACGAUUGUUGACGCUGAGGCACGAAAGCGUGGGGAGCAAACA
rnacentral:rRNA from 1 species